rnacentral:sRNA from 1 species
UCUAGCCGCGAUUGCAGCGGAAAUCCUUUUUUGACGGCUGAGGCAUCCGAAGUAGGCAAAAAAGAUUGCAGCGUAAAGCGCGUA